UUCUUUUGUGCGCUUUUUUUCAUCUUUAACAUGUAGACGCACGUUUGCAUUCAUGCGUGCUACAUGCAGAGAAAAGUGAAUUCUUUUCCCCGCACGAUGACAACAAAACAAAGACGGAAUCGAUCGAGUAAAAAUGUAGAAAUCAAUAACGAGAACGCCUCUAAAAGACGUUCUUUUUAUUUGGUGAUCAGGAGCUAUACCCAUUCACUCCCCAGUGUCUAACCAUUGUAAUGCAUUUUGACUUCAAUUGAUCUGAAGAGAGAAGAUCCUCCCCCACAUCGAAGCAAAGAUUGCAAAUGGACGCACUAUAUAUAUACGAAGAAUUUUAGGCCUCUGUUAGCAAGCCAUAGUUUGAAUAAUUAUCUCUGGAAUAAUUCCAUGAAGGAGGUGUACCUUACCCGAAGAGUAAAUAAUAACGUUGGAGACAGUACACACAAUUAUCCCCUCAACAAGCCGAUUUCGAGGAGAUAAGGACCAGUCUAAGAUUUAGUCAGGCAAAGUCUUUACGUGAUUGUAUGCAGACUCUAAUCACUGGAGACAACUCUUUUAUAUUUGUUUUAUUUUCAAAUGAAUUAGAAAA